rnacentral:lncRNA from 1 species
UUUAAAUUAAAUGAAAGCCCAAUAACCAAAGCUCUUACAAAGUAAUUAAAUUAAACCAACAGGCUGGUUUAUCUUGAUCUCCUUGUAUUGAUCCAAGACCCACGAUUUUGGCUAUCUCCUAGAGCCUCUCCUCUUGUGCUCUCAGCCUUGAUCUGGUUACUGGUCCACUCCACAAACUGGCUAGCUCAUUUAGUUCUUCUCUGCUCAAGUCUGGCUCUUCUCGGCUCAAGUCUGGCUCUUCUCUG